rnacentral:lncRNA from 1 species
ACGUUUAUUUUAGGUUUCAAGUUAGUCCUUUCCGUCAAUUUUGUCACAUGUGGCAGUCAAUUUGCAUACGUGGACUGACACGCGGCACUUUGACACGCUGACACGUGUACUUUUCAAACGGUGUUAGUGACAAAACUAACGGAAAGGACUAACUUGAAACCUAAAAUAAACGUAAGGGACCAAAUUGAAACCUAAAAUAAACGUAAGGGACCAAAUGUGUAGUUAAGCC